rnacentral:rRNA from 1 species
AUUGAACGCUGGCGGCAGGCCUAACACAUGCAAGUCGGGCGCGCGGCGGAAGGGUGAGUAAUGUAUGGGGAUCUGCCUGAUGGAGGGGGAUACCUACUGGAAACGGUAGCUAAUACCGCAUACCAGCAGAUGAACACAUAUGGGUAUAGCUUGUAGGUAAGGUAACGGCUUACCUAGGCGACGAUCCCUAGCUGGUCUGAGAGGAUGAUAAUCCAAACUGGGACUUAGACACGGCCCUGACUCCUACGUGAGGCAGCAGUGGGGAAUAGUGCACAAUGGGCGCAAGCCUGAUGCAGCCAUGCCGCGGGUAUGAAGAAGGCCUUCGGGUUGUAAAGUACUUUCAGUCGGGAGGCGUUACCGACAGAAGAAGCACCGGCUAACUCCGUGCCAGCCGCCGCGGUAAUAC